GACAGAGGCCUCGAGCGUUAGGCGGAAUCACUGGGCUUAAGGCGUCCGUAGGCGGCUCGGAAAGUAGGGUGUGAAAUCCCACGGCUCAACCGUGGAAUUGCGCUCUAAACUAUCGAGCUAGAGGGAGAUAGAGGUGAGCGGAACUGAUGGUGGAGCGGUGAAAUGCGUUGAUAUCAUCAGGAACACCGGGAGGCGAAGGCGGCUCACUGGGUCUUUUCUGACGCUGAGGGACGGAAAGCUAGGGGAGCGAACGGG
rnacentral:rRNA from 1 species